UUACUGAUUGUAGAACUCUGGAAAUACCAGGCAACUUUAAAUUUAUGAUCAGGAAAAGCAUGGAAAUAUCAUUCUAGUUAUGCGCAGGUCUGACUUUUUAAAAUUUGUAUGAGCACAGUUCAUUCUUUAUUGUGUUACCAGUACCUUGUAUGUAUGUACAUAUACGUACUGUUUCCUUUCUUAUUAAUUUGCUUAAAUAAACAAUCCUAAGCAGUU